GGGCCAGUAGCUCAGUUGGUAGAGCACCGCCCUUUUAAGGCGGGUGUCGUGAGUUCGAGCCUCACCUGGCUCA
rnacentral:tRNA from 1 species